GCCUUUAUCUUUUAGUUUUUAAGAUCAUUUCUCUCCCUCCUUUCCCCCCAGUUUUCUCAACAUUUAUGAGUUAGUUCUGCUGAGAACAACAUACUUCAGAACAUGUCAGGAUAGGGCAGUUUUUUCUUGUUUUUCUUUUUUCUUUUUUUGAGACAGUCUUGCUCUGUUGCCCAGGCUGAGGCAGGAGAAUCGCUUGAACCUGGGAGGCAGAGGUUGCAGUGAGCCGAGAUCGCACCACUGAAUUCCAGCCUGGGCGACAGAGUGAGUCUGUUUUUUUUUUGUUUUUUUUUAAAGUCAACACAAAUAUUGAAAAUAAGCAACUUCAGUGCACAAAUAAGCUCAAAAUCACUAGUGAGUGAUCUAUUUUUUGCCAAUAAGAAGUACCAUUUGUACAUGACUUAAAGUGCCUUCCACCAAGAAAAUUAUUGAAAACUGUUGGGUCACAUAACAUUCCUACACUUUGGAUACAGAGUAUUUAGUUUUAUACAAAAUUAAGACAACAAGAAACCUAGGAUGUCCAAACAUUCAUUUCAUUUAUUUUACUGCAUUUAUUUAUGCAGUGAAAAUUGAAAGAUACACCAAAUUAAAGAUAAAACCCUGUGACAGAUAACAGUAUAUGUAAUAACAUGAAUAUUUAUUUACACUUGGUAGAGAAAGCAAAGCUAGCUAGCUCUAAACUAGAAUGAAAGUCGUUUUGAAAUGGGUACGGGGGUAUAUAAGGGGAAUGAUUGAGUCACAUGUAAAAGCCUUUGUAUGCCCAGUGCUAGUGUUUUCCUGAAAUCUAGUGAGAAUCACAAGGUACCAGAAAUAAUCAAAUAAUAAAUAUUAAUACACUGCUGGGAUAGAAGUAUCUCAGUGUACCAGCAUUCACUAAGCUAUAAAAUCUGUGACAGCAGGAAUAUUAAAUUAUGAACAACCUG
rnacentral:lncRNA from 1 species